GACGAACGCUGGCGGCGUGCUUAACACAUGCAAGUCGAACGGUGAAGCGCUUGCCUUUUUGGUGGGUGUGGAUGAGUGGCGAACGGGUGAGUAACACGUGAGUAACCUGCCCUCUUCUUCUGGAUAACCUCAUGAAAGUGGGGCUAAUACGGGGUAUUCCGGGUCUGUCGCAUGGCGGGUUUGGGAAAGAUUGCGCCUUUGGGUGUUUUCGGUGGGGGAUGGGCUCGCGGCCUAUCAGCUUGUUGGUGGGGUGAUGGCCUACCAAGGCGGUGACGGGUAGCCGGCCUGAGAGGGUGGACGGCCACACUGGGACUGAGACACGGCCCAGACUCCUCGGGAGGCAGCAGUGUGGAAUAUUGCACAAUGGGCGCAAGCCUGAUGCAGCGACGCCGCGUGAGGGAUGGAGGCCUUCGGGUUGUGAACCUCUUUCGCCAGUGAAGCAGGCCUGCCUCG
rnacentral:rRNA from 1 species